rnacentral:lncRNA from 1 species
GUACAAUUUGAAGAAAACCAACCAACCCUCGAGUAUGGGAUUAAUUUACCUUGAAGAAACAGGGUUUAAGGCUCUAGCAAAGCCAUUCAUAGCCCCAUAACCCUUAGAACUAAAUCCCAAACAACCAAGCAGACCUUGUCUAUAAGGCAAAAACGUCUUUCUCCUCAACUCUUCAGCUUGAGCCCUAUUUGCUUUAUAGUGUAACUCAUGUGGAGAAGGUGGAACACGUCUCUUCCCAACACCAUUCAUAGGUUUUCCCGUCAUUUUCUUACCCCAACUUCCUUUACUAGAAGAUGAUGAUGAUGAUGAUGACCCAUUUCUUUGUGUUUCACAAGUUUUCUCCUUUGAAAUCUGGGCUUGUAGAUUUUGAUUAUUUGAGCUAGAUUUCUUGUCUUUUGUUGGAGAAAAUGAAAUAGUUGACCAAAACUUGUUGUUACUUCUUCCUUCACUUUUGCUUCUAAGAAAAUCCUUCAAGAAAACCCAUCUUUUAGAGCUUCUUCCAGCUGAAGAAGAUCUAGAAGAUGAAGCUGAAUCUAAAGGUGUUAUCUCUAUUCUUUCUAAACCCAUUUCAUCAACCUUAACAUUCUCCAUUUCAGAACAAUCAUUUCCAUUUUCAUUAUUUUUGUUGUUCAUUUCAUCUUCAAUCUCACAAGCAACGUUGUUUUUGUUGUUGUUGUCGUCUUCGUUUUCUGUCCAUUCUAAAUGACUGUUGUUCCUUAAAGGAGACAUAGAUCUGGUUCUUCUUCUAACAGAUUUGUCUCUUAACCUCAGAUCUCUACCACGAACAACAACAACUUCACCUUCUUCUUCAUCUUCUUCCUCUUCUUCAAGAUCUAGCAAUGGAGCAAGAACCUGAGGACGUUCCAAAUGAGAAGAAAGCUUCAUGGGUCGGAUCUGACCGUUGAGGAAUAACUCAUCAGCGGAAGUCAUUGAACCGGAAGCGGCUGAACCGGUGGAUCCGAACCGGGCUGAGAAUUCAAACUCGUAACUCAUAGGAACUGAAGAGGUUGUUGUUUGGUGGUGGUAAGAGGAAGAAGCGGUUAUGGAGAAAUGCAAUGGACUUGCCGGAGCGCUGUAGAAGUAACCGGAGGAGAUGGGUGGUGGGCCGCCGCCGCGGCCAGGACUUGAAGGUGCGCUGACAUAUGGAGUGGAGCAGUUACUGUCAAUGUCUUCGAAGAAGGUUUCGCCGCCAUUGUUGGAGUUUGAAGGUUCUAGAUUAGGGUUUUUGGUAGAAUUUUGAAGCUCCAUGGUUACUAUCUUUAACUCUCUCUGUGUUAUGCAAUUGUUAGUUACUACUAUAUAAACGUGGGAGAGAGAGAGAGAGAGAGACCCUGAUUUCACAAGGUGCAGGGUGAACAAAAAUAUGCAAUGCAAUAAAUAAUAUAUAAAAAAAAAUAUUGAACUGGAUUCUUAAUUGAG